CACGCAUGACACACUGCAUAUCAAUAAGCGGAGGAAAAGAAACUAACAAGGAUUCCCUUAGUAACGGCGAGUGAAGCGGGAAGAGCUCAAAUUUGAAAUCUUCAAGGUUCUACCUUGACGAAUUGUAGUUUAUAGAAGUGUUUUCUGUUAGUAGAGUGGCAAAAGUUCUUUGGAAUAGGACAUCAUAGAGGGUGAGAAUCCCGUAUUUGGUCAUUCUUUCUAGCUUUGUGAUACACUUUCAACGAGUCGGAUUGUUUGGGAAUGCAGUCCAAAAUGGGUGGUAAAUUUCAUCUAAAGCUAAAUAUUGGCGAGAGACCGAUAGCGAACAAGUACCGUGAGGGAAAGAUGAAAAGAACUUUGAAGAGAGAGUUAAACAGUACGUGAAAUUGUCAAAAGGGAAGCGUUUGACACCAGUGUUGUUUUUCCGAAAAUCAAUUACGAAUGUUUUGUUUUUAAGAAGUUAUGACUUCAUCGGCUUGCUUCUUUCUUUACGAAACUUUCUUAAUGCACUUUUCGGUUAACAAGUCAACAUCAAUUUCUUUUGUUGUAAAAGGGUACGAGGAAGGUGGCUUUCUUUUCGGAGAAAGUGUUUAUAGCCUUGUACCUCUGCAAUCGGAGAGAUUGAGGUCUGCAGCGUAGAUCCUUCGGGGUUAGAUACAUUUGUGCUAAGUUAUAGCUUUUCAUAGACAACUUGUUGACUAUGAUCAGUCAUGUAGCUUACUCGCUUAUGCUAUUUUACCUACGCUUAGGAUGUUGAGCGCAUGUCUCUCUCU
rnacentral:rRNA from 1 species